rnacentral:lncRNA from 1 species
UCUUCAAUAACAAAAUUCUCCUUUCAAAAAUCUCUCUUCUCUUUUUAAGCUUCUUCUUCUUUAGUUGAAUCAUCCAAUCUUAGUUAACAAUUUUUGCUAGCAGAAGGUUUCCAAAUAAUACUUUUCUUCUGUUAUUCUUUACCCUCUCAAGUGUAUCACCGAAUCUUCAAACUAGGGAUUAGUUUUAAUCGUUAAGCGUUAUAAUUGUACCAAAAUAAAAGUUAUUAAUGUUACUUUACUGUAAUUCUGUAGGUCUAUUAUUUCAAGUAGCACAUAUAUAGUUAUAUUUAAAAGUGCCAUACUUAUAGAGCAUUAAUUAUGAGAUGUGUGUAUGAGGUAAUCUAAUUUUUAUAUUAAACAUGGCAAAUUGUUACUCUGGAGAAAAUAUUCAUGUACACUUAAUUUAUAUUUAAUGUAUAAUGUGUUUGAUCA